rnacentral:lncRNA from 1 species
UUCGGCUUGCCAGGGCCCCCUGGGCCUCCCGGUCCCCAGGGCCCCCCAGGCCCCAUCAUUCCACCCAAGGCGCUGCUGAAGGAGUUCCAGCUGCUGCUGAAAGGUAGGGGUGUGCACCGGCUGGGACACACACACCCCGCUGUGAGCAGGGCCUGGGAGGGUGUCCCGAGGAGCUAACAGGGCCAACCUCAACACUUUGGCGGGCACCCAAGGAGGCACCUGCUCUGGGCUGGACUCAAGGACAGUGGAGCUGGCCAGGUUCAGUCUCUGCCCCAUCUUGGCCCAUGUCUGCCAAGGGUCAGGGCUGGGGAUGGCUGGGGGUUGGGAACCAUGGCCAGGAGAAGGCGUCACAGAGGAAGGUGGACCUGGCCACUCAGUAUGGCGGGUGCUCAGGGACCAGCGCCUAUGCCCUGCCUGGAAGUCAGGAGAGCCCAGUGAAAGGCAGAGGCUAGUGUAUGGGGCAGCACCAGGUGGAGCUUGGCCUGGCACCCACAGUCACCACUGGCCAGGGCUGGGGCAGCCUGCCCUGGAGGAGGCAGGGCUGAGCGGAGCCGCGGAGUCCACACUGAGGCCUCCUGCGGAGCGGCGGCUCACAUUAGUCAUUAGAAUUGAGCCGUUUUUUCCUUUUAGUUCAAUGUCUUGUUCGUUUAAAUAUAGCACCUUCUGCGCUGAAGAACCUCCUUGUACUUCCAGUAAAGCUGCAAUCGCUUAUUUUACCCCCAGCGUCUUUGGAAAAUGUGGGUGGGGUAGAGGUGAGGCUGGAGGCCAAGGGCGCUGGGGCACUUCUGCCCGAGCUUCCCAAAUCUUGAGGGAAACGGGAGCCGCUGCAGGGUCAGGACGCAAAGACUCCGAGGCCCUUCAGGCCGAGGGGGCGUCGGCCUCGCCCCACCCCUGCGCCCGGCAGGCCCCUCGUCUCGCUAGCACCUGUGGUUCAGGGCUGGACCCACGCGGCGGGCGGGUGAGGGGUCCCUGGCGCGCGGCCACCGCUCGCUCUGUGCCAGGCGCGGUGCGGCAGCGGGAGCGCNNNNNNNNNNNNNNNNNNNNCGCCCGCCCUGUCGCCCACCCCGCCGCCCGCCCGCGUGACCACGUCCCACCCUCCCCCGCAGCGCUCGGGGAGCCGCCGAGGAGGGGGCUGCCGCGCCCCCGGGACCACCUGCGCCUGCUCAUCUGCAUCCAGUCCCGGUGCCAGCGCAACGCCUCCCUGGAGGCCAUCAUGGGCCUGGAGAGCAGCAGUGAGCUCUUCACCAUCUCUGUGAAUGGCGUCCUGUACCUGCAGAUGGGGCAGUGGACCUCCGUGUUCUUGGACAACGCCAGCGGCUGCUCCCUCACAGUGCGCAGUGGCUCCCACUUCAGUGCUGUCCUCCUGGGCGUGUGA